rnacentral:rRNA from 1 species
GCUGCGGCGUCCUAACACAUCAAGUCGACGAGAAAGUGAGCAAUCCAUGAGUAAAGUGGGUACGGGUGAGUAACACGUGACUAACCUACCCUUGUGUGGGGAUAACUUUCGGGAAACCGAGGCUAAUACCGCAUAAUACCUUCGGGUCAAAGGAGUAAUUCGCUUAAGGAGGGGUUCGCGGCUGAUUAGCUAGUUGGUAGGGUAAUGGCCUACCAAGGCAAUGAUCAGUAUCCGGCCUGAGAGGGCGCACGGACACACUGGAACUGAAACACGGUCCAGACUCCUACGGGAGGCAGCAGUGGGGAAUUUGCACAAUGGGGGAAACCCUGAUGCAGCAACGCCGCGUGGAGGAUGAAGUCCCUUGGGAUGUAAACUCCUUUCGACCGGGACGAUAAUGACGGUACCGGUGGAAGAAGCCCCGGCUAACUCUGUGCCAGCAGCCGCGGUAAUACAGAGGGGGCAAGCGUUGUUCGGAAUUAUUGGGCGUAAAGGGUGCGUAGGCGGUGCGGUAAGUCUUCUGUGAAAUCUCCGGGCUCAACUCGGAGUCUGCAGGAGAAACUGCCGUGCUUGAGUAUGGGAGAGGUGAGUGGAAUUCCUGGUGUAGCGGUGAAAUGCGUAG